UACGUAGGGUGCGAGCGUUGUCCGGAAUUAUUGGGCGUAAAGCGCGUGUAGGCGGCUUUGCAAGUCGGGUGUGAAAGCCCUCGCUCAACCGAGGAAGUGCGCCCGAAACUGCAGAGCUUGAGUGCCAGAGAGGGUGGCGGAAUUCCCCAAGUAGAGGUGAAAUUCGUAGAUAUGGGGAGGAACACCAGUGGCGAAGGCGGCCACCUGGAUGGUGACUGACGCUGAGACGCGAAAGCGUGGGGAGCAAACAGG
rnacentral:rRNA from 1 species